GACGAACGCUGGCGGCGUGCCUAAUACAUGCAAGUUGAGCGCUGAAGGUUGGUACUUGUACCAACUGGAUGAGCAGCGAACGGGUGAGUAACGCGUGGGGAAUCUGCCUUUGAGCGGGGGACAACAUUUGGAAACGAAUGCUAAUACCGCAUAAAAACUUUAAACACAAGUUUUAAGUUUGAAAGAUGCAAUUGCAUCACUCAAAGAUGAUCCCGCGUUGUAUUAGCUAGUUGGUGAGGUAAAGGCUCACCAAGGCGAUGAUACAUAGCCGACCUGAGAGGGUGAGCGGCCACAUUGGGACGGAGACACGGCCCAAACUCCUUCGGGAGGCAGCAGUAGGGAAUCUUCGGCAAUGGACGAAAGUCUGACCGAGCAACGCCGCGUGAGUGAAGAAGGUUUUCGGAUCGUAAAACUCUGUUGGUAGAGAAGAACGUUGGUGAGAGUGGAAAGCUCAUCAAGUGACGGUAACUACCCAGAAAGGGACGGCUAACUACGUG
rnacentral:rRNA from 1 species